CAGAGGCAGAGAGACAGAGAGGAGCCACCCUAAGAAGAGAGACCAGAUACCCUUUUCUCAUCCUUUGAGUUCAACAGAUGUCUCUUCUGGUUGCAAGUGACAGAAGCCCACACAGAAAAGGCUCAGACCAAAGAGAAAUUUAUGGGCUCCUGAAACCGAUUCUUUCAAGAAUUGCAAACUUGGCUGAAGACCUUCCUGUCCCCUUUCUUACCUCCCAUGUACAGGAUGGGGGUGAUGAUCCCACUUCUCUGACUCUCACCCAGAAGUUAGGAACUCCUUAAG
rnacentral:lncRNA from 10 species